ensembl:lncRNA
GGAGAUUGUCUUGACCAGGACCACACCCCUAAAUGCAUUGAAGCAACUGCCAUGUGAUUGGUUGAUUAGAUAAUUGCAUUAAUGAGAAAUUGAACAGGUGUUCCUAAUAAUCCUUUAGGUGAGUGUAGGUUAAAGCAAUACAUAGCAUAGAAAAAUGACAAGUGCAAAAAGUAUAAUGGCCCCAAAAUUAGCUUAUUCAGUAUUACAUGAAGCAAAACCACAACUACAGCUGAUCAGAUAAGUUAAAACACAACAAUUCUGAGAGUAAAAACACAACAUGCAUCUUAACUGCUAAAGUUGAGGGCUCCGAAACAAUCUAUCCCCAUUAAUUUGAAGAAAGGAAACAUGGAGGGAAACAAAUUUAAUGUUACUACACUAUAUAGCCCCAACAUGAUUCACUGUUGAUUACUGUCACUAUGUAGCAUGCUAGUGUGGCUAUCCAAAUAAAGAACAGGAAGAGGCUACUGAACAACCUCUGUAUCACUUAAUAGGUAGAAAGAAGACCUAGAUGGUAAUAUGGUAAUAUGUAUUAGAUGGUAAUAUGCUCUAGGUUGAAAACUAGUCAAAAACAUCCGUUUUCAGAUCAUUUUUGAAAGUUUGGGUGGAGCCAGAUAUAUAGAAAUGAGGGGUGAGAGAGUUACAGAGAGGGGGUGAGAUGCAAAGGGGUUUAUCAUUUUGGGCCAGGUAAGAUGAAGGAGUAUGGGUGAGAUGCUGCCAGUUAAGGUGGAGGAGUGUGGGUGAGACGCUGCCAGUUAUGGUGGAGGAGUGUGGGUGAGACGCUGCCAGUUAUGGUGGAGGAGUGUGGGUGAGACGCUGCCAGUUAUGGUGGAGGAGUGUGGGUGAGAUGCUGCCAGUUAAGGUGGAGGAGUGUGGGUGAGACGCUGCCAGUUAUGGUGGAGGAGUGUGGGUGAGACGCUGCCAGUUAUGGUGGAGGAGUGUGGGUGAGACGCUGCCAGUUAUGGAGGAAAAGUGUUAAUUAGACCAUAGACUUGGAAAUCAGUUAGGGUGAAGGACUGUGAGUUAGAGGCUAGUAGUUAAAAGACAUGUGUGGGUGAUCUGAAGCUGGUUAAGGUGGAGGAGUGUGGGUGAUCUGAUGCGAAUUAUGGUGGAGGAGUGUGGGUGAGACGCUGGCAGUUAUGGUGCAGUGUUGGUGAGACAUUGCCAGUUAUGGUGGAGGAGUGUGGGUGAGACGCUUCCAGUUAUGGUGCAGUGUUGGUGAGACACUGCCAGUUAUGGUGGAGGAGUGUGGGUGAGACGCUGCCAGUUAUGGUGGAGGAGUGUGGGUGAGAUGCUGCCAGUUAAGGUGGAGGAGUGUGGGUGAGACGCUGCCAGUUAUGGUGGAGGAGUGUGGGUGAGACGCCGCCAGUUAUGGUGCAGUGUUGGUGAGACACUGCCAGUUAUGGUGGAGGAGUGUGGGUGAGACGCUGCCAGUUAUGGUGGAGUGUGGUUGAGAGGCUACCAGAAAUGUUCAGAUAACAUUCAGGUUACCAUGACUUUAUUUUGGUUUUGAAAUCAGAUCAACAUAAAAAAGCAUGAAGAGUGAACUGGAUUGACAGCAAAAAAGAAAUGUAGAGGGAGGGCGAGUGCAAGAGAGCGAGAAGAGGAAGAGAAUGGAGAGAGAGAGGGAUAGAGAGCAACAGAGAGGGGGGGUGAGAGAGGUAGAGAGAGCAAGCCAUUCGACAUGUAGAGGGACUCAAUUUCUGGCCUGGUUUCAGAACAGUGGUGAUCGAUUAUUAUUGAUCUACCAGAUCUGGGUUGUCAAAUAAUCACAGUGAAGAAACGGAUGCCAUUUCAGCAGACAGCAUCACACUCAAAUUCACGUUAUUCUGUAUUAAAUAGAAAGGUUUUGGAUCAACACCUAAAGGCAUCUGACCUGUCCUUUUAUAGUAGUCCACAGUAGUCUAACAUGUUAAGUAAUAAACAUAGAUCGCAGGACUCAACCGAGUCAUCAAACCAGGUUAUUAGGCAUCAACAAAGUAGAUUUACUUGUGAAGGAGAAAACAGACUACUUAAGCAUGGAGACGCCCUCAAUGUCACUGCCCAUGCUUUCUCAGGCACCAUCGUGACACCGACACAGACGUGCGGCUUCUAUCCAAGUGUUUGGUCAACAAUGUGACGUCAUCCCACUCCCUGGGCGGAGCAUUCUUCUAACUUUAAUUCUAAGUGUCAUGUAUGUGAUGUUUUAGAGAGG